GCUGGUGAAGUCUAGAUCUGAGACUAUCUACCCACAUGGGAAGAGCAAGGUUGGUGAAGUCUGAGACUGCCUGAGACUAUCUACCAAACGACGGUGAUCCAAGCAACUAUAUAAAAAAAUAAAAAUAAAAAUACUAAAAAAGCAUGGCUUUGACUUUAUGGCUAUUUCAGAGCAGACGACCUUCAGCUCCAACUCCAAAAUCCAACAACCAUGUUUGCCCUGUUGUUCAUGUUGUUUACCACCAUCAUUGCACCACUAAUUCCAACCCUCUCUUCACAACCACCACCACCCUGGCCCCCAUUUCCCUCCCUUACUCCACCACCGCCAGCAUUUCAGUUUCCUCCAAUCCCACCUUUUCGCCCUUUCACUUCAUCACUUCAUCACGACAACAUAUGGCCUCCAACUACAACCAGUAUCCGUGCCCCUCGUGCUGGGGAGUAUCUUGGCUCUAACUACAUUAACCGGCAUCCUCGCGGUGAUGAUUUACCAUCGUCAACGCAACCAGCCUCAGGUACAGGCAGUGCAACCGCCGCUUCCGAUCGAGGACCCUGUAACUGUGCACGGAUGGAGCCGCGUAAUUGUGUACUCGAUCACAUAGUGAUAUACGACGUCUGGUGAAGCAUUGAAGAAAUUGCAAACUGAUGCGCAUGUGCAAAUAUUGUGGAGUCAGCUACCAUCUAAUAGGAUUGAUGUCUUUUAAAUUGAAGAAUGCAAUUGUUAUAUUUUGUUAUGGGAUUGUUUUGAGCUUUGAAUAUUUGUUUUGAUGUGAUGUAGUUGUGUGGUUUGGAAUAACAGUUGUUUUAAUUUGGAAUCGUAAUGAUUUGGCUUAUAAAGAAGGUUGGUGGUA